UCCGGCAAAUACAGUGGUCACUUUCGAGAGAGAGACGUUGUCCGAGGCAGUGUGCGUUACCUGGCCAAAUCAUCACGAAAAUGUCUAAAAUGACGAUGGUUUAUCUCGGAGUGAUUAUGUUCGCCAUAUGUUUAUCAACACAGCCGGUGCUCUCUAUGAACACAACCAUGUCAGGGGGCAACCAGACCAAUGCAGGCUCAAACGCCACUACCAUGGCGACAGGCGUCUACAGUAGCUCAGCCAACUUCAUCUCUCCUACUGGUACCGGUGUGUCACUGCAGUCAGCCCCUUUCUCUCUCUUGCUCCCAGUUGUCAUGGCAACCUCUCUCCUGCACCGUUACUGUUGAACCAAGAUACCACCUCCCCUUCCCCUGCCUCUUCCUGUUCCACCUCCACCAACCCACUCUUCAUCUGCACUGAACCAAGACCACAAGACCAACAUCAUCCAGACACAAGACCAAGAUGGACUCCCACCAUGGACCCCCGCCCCAAAUAAACCACCAUUUCUGAUUUUUUUUCUGAGUGAGGGUUGCACACAUUGAUGGCUACUCCACAACCUCCUGUCAUACCCUCAUGGGAAGUAAUGUUAGCCCUGGCUCCAGGGAUCGCCACCACCACUACAACAUCAGAGCUACAUUUCCCAAACUCGGUUAUUUGACAUCCUGGCCAACUGUUUUGGACAUGCGCUGGGGCCCAAGUGUCACAUCACACGUAUCAAACCCUGUUGGACCACUCAAGAGUACAGGAGCUCUGGUACAGUUUUCAUUUCAUCUGGAAAACGAAAAAGAACAGAGAUGGUUUUGUACGUAAGCUGAAUGUCCUGCAUUGCAAAACAUUAUAUUGUAAAAGAGAAAGUAAACCCUUUUAAGAUUUAAAGUUUUAAUGUAAUUUUUUUCAUUUGGUUCUGAGUUCUGUUAUUGGAAAAUAUGUUCUAUGUAGCAAUUAGCUAUUGGGCGUUUGUUGGUUUUGCCUCGUGAUUUCUAAAGAGUACAGCCCCUUUAUAAGGAGGGUAUUACUGGCAUCUUUCCCUUUUAUAUGCCUAGGUUGGUCUUACUGUGCUGUAAACGAAUUAGAAGGGUUGAUGUUACAUUUCUAUUUCCCCCGUAUAGUUUAUAUUUUGUAUACAUGGAAAUGUUACUGUGUCCUGUUAGUUUGAGUAAGACAGAGUAAAAGUAAAUGAGAAAUGUACAAUAAAUUAUUCAAAAACAA